ACAGAUAUAGCAUAUAUAUAAAAGAUCAAAUAGAGAAAAACCCCGAAUAGCUUAAGGUUUCGGAGAAACCCUAUAAAUGAGAAAGGCUUGGAUGAAUGUCCGAUCUUUAGUCGGAUGAGUUAGAAUCGGGCUUCUAAUGCUUUAGAUAUGCCAGAGCAUGGCCAGAGAGGCCCCAGAACUGUAGGUCUGAGAAGAUAUGCAAGUGAACAACCGAGGUCAGAUCUCAAAACUUCAAUUACCCAUAGUCUAAUGGUGGAGGGGAGUGAGUACAGUCCGUCCAUGGCCUGAGAGGCCAUAGAUUCUGGUGAAGUGGCGGUUGAGAACGGGUGAGGGGGGAUAACGUUUCACAAACCAUUGAGAGCGUUUGAGGGACGAAAGGAUUAAAG
rnacentral:lncRNA from 1 species